rnacentral:rRNA from 1 species
UACAGAGGUGGCUAGCGUUGUUCGGAAUUACUGGGCGUAAAGGGCGCGUAGGCGGUCCGUUAAGUCCCGUGUGAAAUCCCUCGGCUCAACUGAGGAACGGCACGGGAAACUGGCGGGCUUGAGUUCGGGAGAGGGAAGCGGAAUUCCGGGUGUAGCGGUGAAAUGCGUAGAUAUCCGGAGGAACACCGGUGGCGAAGGCGGCUUCCUGGACCGACACUGACGCUGAGGCGCGAAAGCUAGGGGAGCAAACGGG